ensembl:lncRNA
CGCGAGCAGCGCCCCAAAUCCCGCACAGAAAGGACUGUGCGCUCCUGAGCUGCCCGGCCUCACACCAACAGCUGCAUCGCCUCGAGCAGACCCAGCUCAGCCGCAGGGCUGCUGUGUGAGCAUCCCCAGGUUCACUUCAGCCUCAUCAGCACAGGUCAGUUAUACAGCUGCCUGGCUGGAAAUAAGAGGUGUGUGUUUGCGCAUGGGUUUGGAUGCUCAUUUUCGAGCAGCCACAAUCCCAAAUGUGCAACGUUCACACUUGCAGACUAUUUGUAGCUAAGUAAAACCAAACUGCUUCUAAGCUGAACUGGGAGCAUCAGACUGUGGCACAGAUAUUCAGAGCCUUUCAAAGUCCCUGUUUGGGGAGUGAUUUUCUAAAAAUGCAGUUUUUUCCCUUUUCUUUUUGUUUAAAGUAAACGUGUGGUCUUUGAAGCUCCAAGAAAAGAACUUGAAAAACGUGACCUUUGGGCUUUGAUAUGAGACAACAAAUAAAAGUAAUCCAGAGGACAAUCCUUUCAAAAACACGCAUGGUGAAUGGAGAAAGGACAACAUGUUUUGCUUGGAGGCCAAGGCGGGCAGCGGGCUCGUCUAUCACCUUAGAGAAAUCAGUGGGAAAACCUGGCACUGCCAAAAGGCCGUGGCACACAGCACACUGCCCAGGGCUGCAUCCCCUCCAAUCCACACUCACUGCUCCGCCAUGGGAUGGACCCACCCCGAUGCUCCCGGAGCGCUUUGCUGAAGGAGCGGCAGAUGCGCGCCUGGCAGUGCUCCGGGGGGGACGUUUGUUCACCUGGCACCCGAGAGCACUUCAGCUCCAUGUCUCCAAAUCGACAUCUUCGCAUCACUUGGGAUCAAUGUCCGUGGGCCCACCAGGAUCCUGAAGCUACACCUCACACUGCUUCCAACGGGGAUGCUCUUCCACCAAAAGGAAAUAAAACCGUUAGCCUCUCACCAGCCGAACGUCCACCAGCAAGAACACGUUCAGGACAGUCAGUACAUUUUAAUUUAUUAUUUUCCAAAACUUUUGGAGACUGGCACUGUUUAUUCCCACGGCUCAGCCUGGCUGCUGAACACGGGCGCGGUUCCAGCCCCGCUGUGAGCACCCCGCUCCCGGGAGCAGGAGAUGGGCAGUAACAGCUACCAAAGCUCCAUCCCACUGAAAGUCUUUUCCUUUCCUGAAUUGCACGGAAGUUUCAAACACUUCUCCCAAUUACUUCUCACCCCUUUUUGCUCACCUCCUCCUAUGGCUGCAAAGAGGGGAAAUGCAAAGGCAGCAAGCAACGCGUCUGUUGCAACCAAAAAUGAUUUUGCUAUUUCAACGCUGGGAAAUCUGCAAGUCAAAGGUGAGGGAAUGACUGCACGGAGCUGCUCUAUGAAAAAAUCACAAUCUGGCAGCCUGCAGCAGCCCGCGAUUGCUGGCAGAGUGGGAUUGCCAAUCAUUUUUAUACCUCUGCACUUUAAAUAGCAAUAAUGUGUUGAAUGUGAAAUUGCCUGCGCUGAUGUGGUUUGCUUCACGCUAUUAAAAUACAAGCGUCGGGACACACAUUACACAUUUGUGAUUCCUCUGAGACAUUGUUGGGGGGAAAAUACAAACUCCAGGAGAAAAUUGAGGGGGAAUUAAGAGGCAAAGGGGGAGGGAGAAGUGGCCAACCAGGUCACUGAGAGAUCGCAAGUGUGCAGAAAGGAAACAGGGAGAACAUUGUUCGGCGCAUCUGGACACAGCCAGGAAAUGGCCAAUUAUUCCGAAGUCACCGGGGCACAUUAAGCGACGGAGAUUAUUUCCG